rnacentral:snoRNA from 1 species
GGCUUAUUUUUUCAAGAGCUCUUAAUGCUGUGAUCAAAGACUGAAGUUUUUCAUAGAAUGCCAUAGUUACUCCUUAAUAGUGCUGUAUUUUCUUUAGGAGACAAAGUA